UACGUAGGGUGCAAGCGUGUCCGGAAUUAUUGGGCGUAAAGAGCUCGUAGGCGGUCUGUCGCGUCUGCUGUGAAAACUCGGGGCUUAACCCCGGGCCUGCAGUGGGUACGGGCAGACUAGAGUGCGGUAGGGGAGACUGGAAUUCCUGGUGUAGCGGUGAAAUGCGCAGAUAUCAGGAGGAACACCGGUGGCGAAGGCGGGUCUCUGGGCCGAUAUUGACGCUGAGGAGCGAAAGCGUGGGGAGCGAAC
rnacentral:rRNA from 1 species